UGGGAAAUGCCUGAAGCACCAGUCUUUGGAAUUCAAUUUUUGACAAUUAAAGAUGUGUGUAGGAAAGCCAACCCUUUGAUUUGGAACCAUUUGAACACUUCAAAAACAGGAGAGUUCUGUAUAUGCACAGAGUCACAUUUACAGAAUACUUUCGGUCUGUGAACGUUGAAGUUUUUACUUGAUUCAUCAGCCAUGAAGAUCUAUCACCUUUUCUUUUUGACUCUCUUUCUGAAAGGUGUAGUUGGUCCAGAUCCUGCUGGAGGUCAACUUGAUUGUCAAUAUCGUUUUGAUGGUUUCUGUUCCCCAAACGACCUUCCCUGCCCUGACUGUUUUGUUUCAUAUGGACAGUGUGAAUUUGGCUUCCAGUGCUGUGCCAAAUCAAGUUGGAUUCCAGAGUGUGAAUAUGCAACUUCACCUGCUGAAAGUUUUUUUCCUAAAACAACAACUUCACAAAUAUUUUAUGAUGAAACCGAGGCAGCCAAAUAAACUGGUGUGACAGAAAUUCUUUUCCUGCUAAGUAAAAACAUCUGAGUAUCCUCUAACAGUGGAUGGAGCCUUUAAAGAUUAAUUUAAUUCCCCAAAAUGUUGGUUCUUAUGAGUUGCUGAAACUGGUAUGCAUUAAAACUGAUACUUUCCAUACUU